rnacentral:rRNA from 1 species
GAUGAACGCUGGCGGCGUGCCUAAUACAUGCAAGUCGAGCGAACGGACGAGAAGCUUGCUUCUCUGAUGUUAGCGGCGGACGGGUGAGUAACACGUGGAUAACCUACCUAUAAGACUGGGAUAACUUCGGGAAACCGUAGCUAAUACCGGAUAAUAUUUUGAACCGCAUGGUUCAAAAGUGAAAGGCGGUCUUGCUGUCACUUAUAGAUGGAUCCGCGCUGCAUUAGCUAGUUGGUAAGGUAACGGCUUACCAAGGCAACGAUGCAUAGCCGACCUGAGAGGGUGAUCGGCCACACUGGGACUGAGACACGGUCCAGACUCCUACGGGAGGCAGCAGUAGGGAAUCUUCCGCAAUGGGCGAAAGCCUGACGGAGCAACGCCGCGUGAGUGAUGAAGGUCUUCGGAUCGUAAAACUCUGUUAUUAGGGAAGAACAUAUGUGUAAGUAACUGUGCACAUCUUGACGGUACCUAAUCAGAAAGCCACGGCUAACUACGUG